UCCUAUUUCUUCUCGGUAUAAAGAUCACGUCAUCGUUAGCCAAGCCAUAAACCCUCAGCAAUACUGGCAUACGUUGAUAAAAAUAAAACAUUUUACUUGAUCCAUGCAGACCAGUUCACUUUAACCAAGUCACGAAAAGCAGGAAACGCUUUCAGCAACUUCCACAGAAACUUAAUAUAACUGGGGGAACGAUGAUCAAAAUCUACUUUAACUCGUGUCAUUGCCGACGCAUUUUGGAAAUGACACGCUCCGAAAAUGAGUUGUUUGACCUUCUUGUUUUCUUUAAACAACAUGCGAUUAUCUAGAUAUUAUUAGGGGACUCGGUUUUUAGCGCUUUCAAAUCAGAUGCGUUAUUUCUACAAAACCUAUUUGAGGAGUUUGCCAACAUACCUAAACCCUUAAUUUCACAACUAUUUGCUUUGUUAUACGUUAUAGACAUAUUUCUGAACAAGAAUUAGUUCAAAAGGGAAAGGGGAAAAUUCCCAUCAGCUGGUUUUAUGAGGUCUUUGUUCUAACACCGGAAGUCCAGGCAGCGACAUUUUGAGGAGGGAUGAGGUGGGGGAUUCUCGAAGCUACACCAGAGCUAACGGCUAAAAGGCCAACAACCAUCCUCCGGUAUCAACUAUGUAUUUUAGAUUAAACGAACAAGAUCUCGUUAUACAUGCUGUGAAGAACAUCUUACCAGUGUGCAGUGAAACCCUGAAGGACGAGAUGAAACUUGUUCAAGCUCUUUGAAACCCGCACAGGAUGUUUUCUUUGUUUCCUUCUCACAAGUCUAGACUCAACAUUCCUUGCUCUUAGUUCACCACACAAGUAACAGAUUCUUUACAUCUUGAACUAUCAUUCAUAAGUAAUGCCGGAUAAAUGACAAAUCACUUCCAGGAAAUGUUAAAUCUGUACCUCUAAGAAAUGUAUGUUUUCAUUUGAACAUAAUGUUUUGCUAAAUUAAACAUAAAAAACAGGUGAUAUCUAUAAUACCAAUGCUAACUAAUGCUUUCUAUGUUACACAAUAGUUUUGUUUUGAAAUUCUGACACCAAAUAAUUAGCUGUAAAAUACUGCAAAUGUAGAGAGUUAGGUAAAAUUACUGUACUAAAUUUUAAUAUCAUAUUGUGGACCACACUUUUUUUCUGAAAGAUCAGUGCAAGGUUAUUUAUCAUACCUUGCACUGGUACGAUAAAUUAUAUUAUAAUUUACUGUAAUGAAAAAAAAUUCUUCAAAUUGGUGAAAAUCACAAUUUCUAAAUGCAAUACGCCUCAUGCAACUUUUUUGUAUGUGCCAAUGUUUUACAGUAAAAGUCUUAUUUUUGUGUA